UACAUGGGGUGCAAACGUUGCUCGGAAUUAUUGGGCGUAAAGCGCGCGUAGGCGGUUACUCAAGUCGGAUGUGAAGGCCCUCGGCUUAACUGAGGAAGUGCACCCGAAACUGAGUAGCUAGAGUACUAAAGAGGGUCGCGGAAUUCCCGGUGUAGAGGUGAAAUUCGUAGAUAUCGGGAGGAACACCGGUGGCGAAGGCGGCGACCUGGGUAGAUACUGACGCUGAGGCGCGAAAGCGUGGGGAGCAAACAGG
rnacentral:rRNA from 1 species